rnacentral:rRNA from 1 species
GGAGGAUGCAAGCGUUAUCCGGAAUGAUUGGGCGUAAAGCGUCUGCAGGUGGCAGUUCAAGUCUGCUGUCAAAGACCGGGGCUUAACUUCGGAAAGGCAGUGGAAACUGAACAGCUAGAGUAUGGUAGGGGCAGAGGGAAUUCCUGGUGUAGCGGUGAAAUGCGUAGAGAUCAGGAAGAACAUCGGUGGCGAAGGCGCUCUGCUGGACCAUAACUGACACUCAGGGACGAAAGCUAGGGGAGCGAAUGGGAUUAGAUACCCCAGUAGUCCUAGCCGUAAACGAUGGAUACUAGGUGUUGUCUGUAUCGACCCGGACAGUGCCGUAGCUAACGCGUUAAGUAUCCCGCCUGGGGAGUACGCACGCAAGUGUGAA